GCGAAUGGCUCAUUAAAUCAGUUAUCGUUUAUUUGAUAGUACCUUACUACUUGGAUAACCGUGGUAAUUCUAGAGCUAAUACAUGCUGAAAACCCCAACUUCGGGAGGGGUGUAUUUAUUAGAUAAAAAACCAACGCCCUUCGGGGCUUCUUGGUGAUUCAUGAUAACUUUACGGAUCGCAUGGCCUUGCGCCGGCGACGGUUCAUUCAAAUUUCUGCCCUAUCAACUUUCGAUGGUAAGGUAUUGGCUUACCAUGGUUUCAACGGGUAACGGGGAAUUAGGGUUCGAUUCCGGAGAGGGAGCCUGAGAAACGGCUACCACAUCCAAGGAAGGCAGCAGGCGCGCAAAUUACCCAAUCCCGACACGGGGAGGUAGUGACAAUAAAUACUGAUACAGGGCUCUUUUGGGUCUUGUAAUUGGAAUGAGUACAAUUUAAACCUCUUAACGAGGAACAAUUGGAGGGCAAGUCUGGUGCCAGCAGCCGCGGUAAUUCCAGCUCCAAUAGCGUAUAUUAAAGUUGUUGCAGUUAAAAAGCUCGUAGUUGAAACUUGGGUCUGGCUGGCAGGUCCGCCUCACCGCGUGUACUUGUCCGGCCGGGCCUUCCUUCUGGAGAACCUCAUGCCCUUCACUGGGCGUGUUGGGGACCAGGACUUUUACUUUGAAAAAAUUAGAGUGUUCAAAGCAGGCCUUUGCUCGAAUACGUUAGCAUGGAAUAAUAGAAUAGGACGUGCGGUCCUAUUUUGUUGGUUUCUAGGACCGCCGUAAUGAUUAAUAGGGACAGUCGGGGGCAUCAGUAUUCAAUUGUCAGAGGUGAAAUUCUUGGAUUUAUUGAAGACUAACUACUGCGAAAGCAUUUGCCAAGGAUGUUUUCAUUAAUCAGUGAACGAAAGUUAGGGGAUCGAAGACGAUCAGAUACCGUCGUAGUCUUAACCGUAAACUAUGCCGACUAGGGAUCGGGCAAUGUUCUUUUUCUGACUCGCUC
rnacentral:rRNA from 1 species